rnacentral:rRNA from 1 species
AAUCAACGCUGGCGGCGUGCCUCAGACAUGCAAGUCGAACGAUUAAAGCUCUCUUCGGAGAGUGUAUAGAGUGGCGCACGGGUGAGUAACACGUAAGUAAUCUACCUUUGAGUGGGGAAUAACCCGGGGAAACCCGAGCUAAUACCGCAUAAUGCAGCGGCACCGCAAGGUGACAGUUGUUAAAGGAGCAAUCCGCUUAAAGAGGAGCUUGCGGCAGAUUAGCUAGNGGUAAGGUAAUGGCUUACCAAGGCUUCGAUCUGUAUCCGGCCUGAGAGGGCGGUCGGACACACUGACACUGAAUAACGGGUCAGACUCCUACGGGAGGCAGCAGUCGGGAAUUUGGGCAAUGGGCGAAAGCCUGACCCAGCAACGCCGCGUGAAGGAUGAAGUAUUUCGGUAUGUAAACUUCGAAAGAAUGGGAAGAAUCAAUGACGGUACCAUUUAUAAGGUCCGGCUAUCUACGUGCCAGCCGCCGCCGU